GAUCCAUCCACUAUGGGUCACACCUUUCCUUGUGGGAUACUGACUCUAUGAAAGGAGAAAGGGGGCUGGGUAACCAUGUAUUCAUCUCUGACUGCUUCCUGGCUGUGGAUGCCAUGUGACCAGCUGCUUCAACUUCCUGCCUCCUUGACUUCUCUGUCAUGAGACCGUACCUCUGAGCUGUGAGCCAGAAUCUGCCAUUUCUGUCUUCAUUUGCAUUUGUUGGGUGUUUAUUUAUUUAUUUAUUUAUUUUUAUUAUUAUUAUUAUUAUUUUUUUUUGGUUCUUUUUUUCGGAGCUGGGGACCGAACCCAGGGCCUUGCGCUUCCUAGGUAAGCGCUCUACCACUGAGCCAAAUCCCCAACCCUUUAUUUAUUUAUUUAUUUAUUGUUUUUAUUACAGCAGCAGGAAAAGAAAUGGAGACAGCAUCCUAAGGACUAGAGGAGAUGCUUAGGAUGCAAAGACACUUCAUGGGGUAGGCAGGGGACAGACUCAGAAGGAAGUGGGGCUAAAAUGCAGGUAGCAGAUCCAGGAAGACAGUAGCUCCAACAUCUGAUGCCAUGUGGAGCUGAAGGCAACUUGUAGGUGUCUCAUGUUCUGUGGUAUUUUUCUCUUUCUCUAUCCCUCUCCCUUUCUUUCUCAGACAUGCUGUGACAGACAAGGUACUAUGGAAGUUGUAAGAGCAGGAGUCAGCAUCUCACUUUCUGGGCUCUUUACCUCAGAGACCGAUGUGGUUAGACAUCAAACUUAGCCGCUUAGCUUUUGAAAGCUCUUCUCAGGCACGCCCCCUUCUCAGUUAGACUACGACCGGUCUUGCAAUGAAUGGGUCCAGGCCAUCAUGAACUAGUCAGCCUCAGAUAACAGACUCCUUUAGCCCCUGCCUCCUUCCAGAGACCUAUCUGUUGGAUCUUCCAGAUAGGCCUUCUUCACAUCCCCCAAAUUGGAAUUUGCUUGUAUCAAGAGUUAAAUGAUAAUUUAUACUAGAGAACCAAAACCAUCUUCUAAACACGUAAUCAACUACAGCUGUUUGGGAGAGCAGCUAUGAGGAAGGAGAGGGCAAUGUCUUGGAAGCAGCAGGAGGGCAGUCAGGGUGUGGAUGUGUGGUCCUUCCACUGAAAGGGUGUUUACUGAGCCUGAGAUAGGUCCCCUCCAGCUGUUCAGAAACCUCUGUUAGCCGCUCAAAUCCACCUGGUGUCACAACACACUUAACUCAAACACAGCCUCUUUGCUCUCAGUCUGAGGUCACCCAUCCAAAACUGACGAUAACCCCUGGCUAGUCUGCAGUUUGCCUCACAGACCGGAUGUUUGGCUGUCAGAAGUGGACUUGGUCAUUGUGUUUUGUCUUAGCAGUAACUGGUUAAACGGUCAGGCUUCUAUGCUUUGCUCUUCUAUGGGUUGGUUAACUUGAGUCAGCAUGGUCCUUACUCGAAAGCUCUUCCUCACAAGCUCUCUGGCCAGAAGAGGGUAUUGGAGCAUCUGGAACUAGAGUUGCAGGUGAUUUUGAACCAACCAUGUGGGUGCUAGGAAUGGAACUCCAGUCGUCUGCAAGAGUGUCCAGUGUUUUUAACCACUGAGCCAUGUCUUCAGGCCACAAAGCUCUGCCAUACUACAGCUUCCUAGGAGGAGAAAAGAUACCCAGAACUAUAUAACUAAAGGGCCUAGCAUCUUUGGUUCAUGCUCUCUGGAAGACCAAAUAAACCAAUGCCUUGACUUUUAUAGAAGGCAACAGAAGUCACUGGGGUGAAGCUUGGGUCUUGUCAGAAUGCUGGGGGUUGUAGGCCUGGUUCUUCCACUUAUUUCCUGCAUGGUCAUGGGAAUGACACAUGUAAUCAUAAAAUGAUGGAGGUAGUGGGAAGACCUGGAUGUCGUGGAAGGGAAGAUACAAUAGCUCAGCUGUCAGUGUAAACUCUUGACAAUGAAUCGACUUCUACUUCACUGUUUAUAUCCAGGAGUAAAGGGCCAAACAUAAUAUGAUACUUUGAAAGGGGAAGGUGUGACAUGGAAUAUAUUUGGCAAAGAAUAAAACAUUUGAGAAAGCUGUUGGAGUGAAUACUUGCCAACACCGGGCCAAAGAUUGAUUAACCAUAGUGAUGGGUGCCUAGGAACUGACCCAUGUGGAUAGUUGGCCUUAGGAAGAUGGAGAAUUGUGGACCACUGGGAGAUGGAGGCUCUUCAGAGAUCUGUUUAUCAUAUCAGAAAAAUAUAAAUGAGAUCCUUGCCUUACAGCUUACACGUGGUCAAUUUAGAUCAGUGGUUUUCAACCUCUGGGUAGUGACCAUUGGAAAACACAUUUCCUAUGGUCUUAGGAAUCCCUGGCCAUAAAUUUAUUUUCAUUGAUGCUUCAAAACUGCCUGCAAUUUUGCUACUGAGUGGUAUCUUGGUUCCUUAGAACAAUAUGUAUUUUCUAAAGGUUCAGAUCCACAGGUUGAGAACUGCUGAUUUAGAUAAAGAAAUAGAGAAAGGAAAAACACAGGAGAAUGUCUUCCAACGUUGGACAAGUGACAUGAGCUAAGUGAGUGAGUGUGUGUGUGUGUGUGUGUGUGUGUGUGUGUGUGUGUGUGUGAAUGAAUGAUAUAUCAAGCUAUUGAACUUGGUACUUCAAUGGCAACACCUGGGUAAUAAACAUAAACACAGUUAUAUACUGGGGGAUAUUUGUAACAAAUACAAAAAGGGAAGGACAAGUGCUAAGAAUGUCAGUUAAGCCCAACACUAGACAUUCAGUUCGUGAUACAGUUCCCUGGGAACACACAUAAAGUACAGGGCCUGGGUAGAUAUUUAAUACUCAUAGGAGCAUUAGCAUGGGGAACAACCCAGAAGAAUGAGUAGGCAAAAUGGGGCAUUACCAUACAAUGGCUAUUAGUCAGCCUUCUGGCAGAGGGGUAUUCUGAACCAUGCUUCAACAUGGGUGAACCUUGAAGACACUGCUCCAUGAAGACACACAGUCACAAGAAGAAAUAUUGCAUGAAUCUACUUCUAGUUCAGUUCAUGGAGAGGAAAACCUGAAAGACCAGUCAAGACAGGAGAACAUGUUCACCCUAGGGAGACAGAUGCACAGCAAAUCAACAAGGAGAUCGUAUCUUACACCUCUCAGAUUACAAAAGCCCAGGUCUCCCGAUGCCUGGAGAUGGGGUGUGAAGGAAUGAGAGAUGGCACAUGCCAUGCAUGAUAUGUGAAGAAGCAACUCCAUGCAGACUUUUUGCAGGACAAUUAGGCAAUAUGUGGAAGACGUGGAGAAAGGCACACCUCCGUGUCAGCCUCCCCUUGCAGGGACAAUUCUAGAGAAUGUCUCACACCUGUGGGUAGAAUUAUGCACGAAGCGUCGCUGUAUCGGUGUUCCCAAUGAGGGACAUUUGAAACCAUCCUAAACACCAGUGCUAGAAUGAAGGAUAAACAAAUGGUCAUUAAGUAGUAAAAUUCUAUGCAGCCGUUAAAAAUGUCCUAUACACGACACGGUCUGCUCAUAUGUGAACAGAUCUUUCAAAUGCAAUAUUUGGUAAAGAAAGCUGGCUUUUUACCAGGCAGGGUGUGGGAGGAAUGGACAGCUAGUGUUUAGUGGAUAGAGAGUUUCAGAUUAGGAAGAUAAAAGAUUUGGUUUGGAGAUAGAUGUUGUCUUAGGGCUUCCAUUGCUGUGAAGAAGCCAUGACCAUAAGAACUCUGACAGAGGAAAACAUUGUAUUCAGGCUGGCUUACCAUUAGAGGUUCAGUUUCUAUAUCAUCAGGACAGGAAACAUGGUAGCAUGCCCAAAGCAAUGGAGUAGAUCAUAAAGACAGGAAAGUUCAUGUACUUGGCAAGUCACCCAAGCAAGGUGACUGAAGUUGAAGAGACUUUGGCGAACCUGUGACGGAGUGGUUUAUUGAGACUCACUCUCCUGUCUAGACUUAAAGAAGGUCAUGGCAAGAAGUGUUUCUUAUUCAAUCUACUUUCAGGUGCCAAAUAGCCAUGACAUUAUACACCAUGGGUCAUACAUCAAUAUUCUCUGAGCUUAACUUACCGUUAAGUAGUAACUUCAACUCUGACAUCUUCUGUAGGACGCACAGCACUGAUAACCCUAACAUCUUCUGUAAGAUGUCACACAGUAGUCAUGGUCCUGGCUUUCUCUGUAGGGUGGCACACAGCAGUCAAUGCCCCAAUAUCUUCUUCCAUAUUCAUCUCAAAUAAAAGACACAAUUAGCUUUCCAGGGUGAUCCAAUCUGCCCGGGGCCUUUUCUAGUUGAUACCAGUUGACCUGACCUGGUCCUAGGACCUCCCAUGGACCAGCUCUUCUGGUAUAGGAGAUGAGAUGAAUGAGCCAUGAGUUUACUUCUAGUAUAGACCAGUUAGUGGGUGACUGACAAGGGCAAGGAUCAUUCCUCCAUAGAAAAUGAAAGGCUCUGCACAUCAUAAGAAACCUGAGAAGAGCUAGUGCCAUGCAUGGAUCCAGUGUUCUAAGUAACUGGUGAUAUAAAUGUCCCUGGUGAUACCCAUGACCCAGAUGGUACCUUGAGUUAUGGAGGGGACCAGCAUUCUGUCCUGCUGUUGGUGCAUGUUGGUGAUGCAACUAGAGUGCAUCCAGCUUGACUGAGUUUACUCUUCAGCCCAGCUCUGGGGAUGGUGGUUAGUUAGGGCUACUCCAAGAAAGCAUUACUUUUUCCUCUGUGCCCUUACCUGGGCUUUAGGUUUCUUUCCAGGGCCCACACCCAAUUCCGGGGUAUUUAGGUAGAUGGUAUAACAUAUUGUACUGCAGCUUUGCCUACCCUUUCUCUCCUUAAAGUUCUUAGCAAGCAUCCUUGGGAAGGCAGCACUCACCACACUGCAGUAAGGAAGGCAGGGUAAAUCCCUGCCAGCUAGGGACAAUGCUCUCACCAGCUGACUUCUGCAGUUUCCUCUCUCUGCCUACAAAGGAACUGCCAGUUAGAGACUGACAGUGGUUGGAAAGAGCUUAGCCACCAUCUGGUGGGGGCUUAGUGCUUCUCCAAGUGCCUAGCACUACACCUGGUCCCCUUGGGCAGUACCCAGUAAAGAGAAAGACAUAAAGACAUUGGCCCUGCCCACUACCAUCCACUUAGGGAGACCAGAAUAACCCACAUGCAACCGUGGGGAACAGACAAGACAGGCUUAUAAUUAAAUGCUAAUUUGAAGGUCUAGAAGUGAUGUUGGGAUCCAAAGCAGAAGGAAUGGGAGAAGGCUGGUAGAGGCGACAAAGGCUCUGUGGAGAAGGUGGGACCCAAUGAAGUUUUGAAAGAUUGGCAGGUUGGAGCACGGUAGGGGCAUUUUGGGCUAGGGCAACAACAGUCCUUCAUUGCCUUCCUCUUGUCUAAGAGCAUGACUGUGGUGCUAUUUGUGUUAGGGUCUGUGAUGUCAGGGCAGUUAAACUCCUUGGCUGUCAAAAGGGACUAAAUAUUUACCGCGGUUCCAAAACUGGUAACAGCAGCUUCCAGAAAUCUUCUUUGGAUAGCAAUUAGUCUGGAAGGUCUGGUUCUUUUCUUCUUUUUCUUUUUUUCAUGCAUAUGUGUGCUUGUGCAGGUGUGUGUGUAUGUGUGUGUGUGUGUGUGUGAGAGAGAGAGAGAGAGAGACAGAGAGACAGAGAGAGAGACAGAGAGAGAGAGAGAGAGAGAGAGACAGACAGACAGACAGACAGACAGACAAAGAUGUUCCAUUUAGGACCAAGCACCCACCAACACUUUGACUACUUUUGAAGAGUGUAUUUAAUGGAAGAGGUUCUGCACAUCAACAAUUCAGUGGCUCAUUGGCCUCCAGCUGAGGACAGGACUACGGAGGGGAAGGAAUGAAAGCUCACUGUUGAGAAACCAUCAUGGGUAGGCUUGGAGUCCUCUCAAGAGAGGGGUGGAUGCUGCCUGCAUGGCAAGAAGCCUCUGCAGGUAGCAAGUCUAGGUUGCUGGACUCAGGGCUUUUUUACUGAACUUCAAGGAGAGGAGUCAGAGAGGGUGAGGGGCAAGGGGAGGUUCUUGUUGCUACAGAAAUCAACAGCCAGGGAAUGGUCAUGGAACAGCGUGGGGUGGGAAAUGAGGUCACAGUAGUUGCUAUGACCAAAUGUACUAUGUCCCAUGGGCAAAGCCCAAGCCAGUGUCAAUUUUUGAAAGAGUUCUCAGUGGUCCCACUGAAGGAAGGAAAGUCACAAAUGGGUUUUUUUUCCCUCCCUCAAAUGUAUCCUGUUCCUGCAGCAUCUUGUAUCCUUUGAUGAUGUAACAAUGACAGCUGCUGGUGUCCAACUUCCCUGACAAAAUUAAAGGUGCUGCAGGAGAUCACUGGUAAAUUUGGUGUGCUGGGUGCCUGUGAGCCUGCAGGUAUCUGUACCCAGGAGGAGAUCCUGACAGAGAAGAGGCACAUGGGCCACGUGGAGAGCCAGACAAAAGUCUGGGACUCGCUGUGGCUUAGGAGAAGUCCAUUUGUAGGAAUGGUCUAGCCAAUUGCCCUUGCCUCAAAGCGCUGUCUGGUUCUGUCGGUGUGUUUUGCAACUGGGGCUCAGGGGUGAGGUGGGUGGGAUUUCAUAACAAACAUCUCAUGCCUGGAGGUGUAGGUUUGAAUUCUGACAUUAUUUCAGUUAGUGGUCCGUUACGACAGCAUACAGAGGCCACGCUGAGGAGCUGGUGUGGGUGUGAGGCUGGCUCUGCCCUUGGCAUCUGUAAGCACAGGAGUCCCAGAGACUUGUGUCCUGUCCCCACGCCACAGAGCCUGUUGUAAUGGUUUGAGUAAUAAGCCUCAUUUUAGUAUGAAAUUCGGCAGGCACGCGAAAAGAACCUGUGAGACCUGAGAUGCAGGCAGGCAAAUAAAUGGCUAGUUAGCCUGCAAUGUGACCCCAUUAGAGUAGCUGCCCUUCCCACCUGGAGGAACAAAGGCAAAGGCGGAGAAUGGAGAAUGUUUGCCCUGUGGGUCUCCAAACCGCUCGCACAGCACAUUUAAAAUGCAUUCAUCCCCCAAGUUAGAAAUUAAGAUUUUCAAGUGAAUCCCCAAAAAAUCAAUGUGACAAAUACCGUAACGGAGGGGCAGGACCCCGGAGAGUUCAAGGAAGCAUCACAGACCUCGGCAGCAAACCAGCAAACGCAAGGUACUUUCCCUGCCUUGGACCACAGUGCUUAACUUUUAUGCUGAUUACACAAUUACUAUUCAAUGUUAUUUAACACCUGGAAAGUUGAUUUGACCUGUUCAGACGGCCAGACAGUGGGAUGGGGUGUGUCAGAAGAGCUCAAAGUCUUAAAUGGCUUUCAAGCUGCUGCCUUAGAGGCAACGAGGUAGAGGGAGGUAAUAAGGAAGAAUAAACAAACAGAAAAACUAACUUAAUAAAAACAACCAAGAGAAAGGGCAAGAAACCCAGUGGGCUCCUACAUAGAGAGAAUACGGCGGGGAAUAAAGGAUAACUAUUUCUAGCGGGAAGAGCCAAGAAGAUAAGCACCAGGUAGGCUGCACCUGCCUUUCUUAGGUAACCUCUGAAGAAUGCAAUCACAGGUUCCUGUUUAUCCACACCCCCAGCUCUGCACUCCCUUCUGUGGAGCCUCUCCACCCAGCUUCACAACCUUUAUUUUACUUUCUGGCAACACACAGAGGCUGCUCACACCUGAGCUAUGCGUGCACAUGGGGCGCUUCUCUGUCACUUGCUAUUUGGAGAUUCAUUCCUAGAACCCUGCUUAUGUCUCCACGCACUCUCUUGCUUUCUAAAAGGACUGAACUGAAGCCGGGAGCCCAGAUUGACAAAUGCCUUGUGUUCUCUGUUAUGCCGAUUCUGAAUCCUCCCUUUCCAUUGUUAAAUGUGUGUGUGUGUGUGUGUGUGUGUGUGUGUGUGUGUGUGUCUAAGGUGGGAGUAAGUGUGGAUAAAGGGCAGGAAACUAAAAGGGAUCCUUGAGAUGAAAAACGGGGGGGGGGUAGGAAUGACAAUAGAACACAUUACACAUUAACUGUAAGGGAGGCAAAAGGGCAGGGGGGUGGCACUGGAGCAAGGGGCAGGGAAAUGGGAGGGAGGGGUAUGAGAAUCAAUUACAAAAAAAAAACCACGUCUGCAAAUACUAUCAGAGAACCAAUUACUUGCAAGCUAGGCAGAUAAAUAAAUAAACAAACAAACAAAUAAAUAAAUAAAUAAACUCUAAAAAUAAAACUGCAAACUUCCUUGUAUACCUAUAUCACAGGUAUAUUCCUGUGUGCUCUUAGUUGUCUUCAGAAUGUUUGCUUGCAUAAGAUUGCGCCGCCUUGGGCUUAGCCUCUCCCUGCUUCCACCCCCACCUCCACCUCCACCCCACCUCCAGCCCCACCCCACCCCCACCAGUCCCCACCUCCGCAUCCGGCAGGCAGGCAGGCAGCAGGCAGUCCUGUCCUGGGUCCCAUCGCAUACACGGAUGGGUGUAGCGGGAGGCGGAGCCAGGCGCUGCUGGCCAGACGAGGGGCCUUUGGGGGAAGAGUGGGGGAGAAGAGGUCGCCCAGCUGCAAGGCAGGUGCUGCUGUCACCGGAGGCGUGGGUGAGCUAGAAGACAGCCUUGCAUGCUCCACCAAGGUCCCUUAACCCCAUGUCCCUACUCCCUUCCCUCUCUGAGCCCCAGCCACCUGCCUAGGAGCAGUUUCCACGCCUGGAGGGUGAGCCAGGGCUGAGCCUGGACAAGGGCUGUCUGGGUGGACCCUUCCACUCACCCAGGACGCCAGCACCGCGCCAAGAGCUGUUGACUCAGGUGACCUGCUCUAAGAGUCCUGUCAAUUCCGAGCCCACAUUCUACGCUCUGGACUGAUUGGAGGCCCUCCAUGCUGAAUUGUACAACCACACAGUGGGCCACACUACUGUUGCAGGGCCUGGCAGACACGUUCUGGUCUGGUAACAGGUGUCCUUGACUGGACAACCAUCUUCAGUCCUGCCUGAUAGUGUCCACAAUGCAUCUAAGCCCCUAGGAUUUUCAAGUCCCUUCAUGCCCUCUCUGGUUCUGGCAGACAACUUUCGUAAUGCCUUAUCUCUAAGCCAGGUCUCUGGAGCCAGCAAGGGAAUUGGGCCGGAGUUUGAACUUCCAGGUUAAAGUUUAGAUACCUGAGCCUCUAUCUGAGGUGCCCGCUCCUCACAACUGCCUUCCUGCAGCAGCAUUCUCCCUUCUUUCUGGGCGUCCCGUGGGUGGUGGGUUACCUGUGAAAGGCAGAGUGAAGAGGGCCUGCCACCUGCACAGGCCUCUGAAAGCCUUUGAAGGGCUUCAGGCUGGGCGGGUUGGAGAUGCGUAGGCCCUGAGCCCCUGCGAGCACGCCCUUCGGUUUUCAUUCUCUUGGUUGUCUUCAUCAAGAUACAUCAUUCUUCGACAUUUCCUGCUCAGAAAUCUUUGAAUCGCGGUUCUUUGUCCCGACAGCAGGUGCAGACACCUAGCUCCGAGAAGGCCUGCUCUUAGACGCCCCUGCGUUACUCACUCAGUCUCAAACCACAAAAGAUCGUUCGCUCCUCCAGGGAGAUCCAGUGAUGUGGGAUAGAGCGAGUGAAGGCCAGAACACCCCCUGACAUCUCCAUGUUCACGGGUCAGAGUGCCUGUCUUGUUCAGAAGCCAGGAAGCCAAAUUCUAGGUCCUCAGCAGACAGGCACCACAGCCUGCUUGCUGUUCCUUGCUUUGACUUCUAGAACUGAGCGGUGCACCCUCGCUGCCCCUGUUAGGAGCAGUGGCGAUUGGGCAUUUGAGUACAAGUGAAAAUGUUAAACUGUUUGCUGGGGAUUGAAGAGUAGGACAGAUUUUCCCAUCAACCUCAUGACUUCUUCCUGAGUGCUGUAAACGGACAAAUCUUGAGAGGACUGUCUUACUUUCUGCCUUGGUAACCCGUCCUUGUGCAUUUCAAACAGGAGAUCAUGGCUGGGGAUGCACUGUUAGUCUGCUUUGUUAUGAAUGAGGCACUGGGGUUGGUUCCCUCUCACUGGUAAUGGUUUGCAGCAAGACACACCCAGACUUUAUUUAGCCGGUAAACCUUUCCUUCUUAGGCACUGGCCUACAGAUGCCACAGCUGAUACUCACAGGAUAUUGGGCUCAACAGGUUUCAUCCUGAUACUUUUAUAAGAUGAUGCUGGACUCUAGGGGCCGCUUCACUGGGGGGGGGGGGUGCAUAAAAGCCAUUAACUCCAGCGGUUUCCAUAAAGGAAGUGCCCCGCUUCCUCUGUCACAGCCCCAGCAGCUCUGGAUGAUGACAGAUUACAAUCCUUGGGCAUCGUAAGAACGAACACCCUGGGUUACUCACUCCAUGCGCCUGGCACCGUGCCACAUCGAAUGGAGGAGAGCCUGAGUCACAAACCUCACGGACUUCAGUGCCAUGCGAUUUAAUUCCUUUUGUGCCUUACUUUCCCUCCUUUGUCUGGUGGGGGUGUGUGUGUGAAAAGAGCCGUAUAGACUCAGUAUGAGGAAGAAAC